UACGGAGGGUGCAAGCGUUAUCCGGAUUUACUGGGUUUAAAGGGUGCGUAGGUGGGUUGGUAAGUCAGUGGUGAAAUCCCCGAGCUUAACUUGGGAACUGCCAUUGAUACUAUCAGUCUUGAAUACCGUGGAGGUCAGCGGAAUAUGUCAUGUAGCGGUGAAAUGCUUAGAUAUGACAUAGAACACCAAUUGCGAAGGCAGCUGGCUACACGAAUAUUGACACUCAGGCACGAAAGCGUGGGGAUCAAACAGG
rnacentral:rRNA from 1 species